rnacentral:lncRNA from 1 species
ACUAUUAUUAUUAUCAUUACAAAUAUUAUCACAGAAACGACAGAGUAAAAAAUUUUGAAAAAGAAAAGGAACAAAAAAAAUAUUUUAAAAUACGUGAAGAGCACAUAUAUAAACGUGUAUAAAAAUAAUACAUCAACGAGGGGUGUGUGUAUAUAAAAGAGAAAUUAAGAUAAGAGAAAGAACCAAACGAAAUAAAAAGAAAAAAGAAAAGUUUUACUAUUCGCAAUAAUAGUGUUAAACGUGCACGUGUGAUAUAUGCACAUACAUAUGUAUAAAUAACGUAUAUAUAUGUGUAUAUAGAACCAAGUGUGUGUGAGUGUGUGUUUUUAAAGUACAAACGACCGUGUGUGGACUACCUUCGACCCCAACCCCUUGAUUCUUACCCCCUCCCCUCCUCUGGUCACUACAUUUUCCCCCGAAACAACAACCCCCACCCCCCUCCCCCCCCCCCCCUCAAGGACAUAAUUGUGGUUACCUUUAUUAAGGACUUAGAUACCGCCGACUGGGAUAUCGAGGAACGGUUGUUAUAUGGUGGUACAGCAGGAGGCUGAGAUAUUUGCGGAGUGCGGCUCUGCAGCAUCUCAUCGCGGCGAUGUGGCUCAGUGGCGAGACGCGCGGAGGUGAUAACAACUUCUGACCUUCCGUUGUCCGUCUGUCGUCUGUCCCGUCUUCAAAAUCCACCCCCACUCCACUCGAUCAGCGAUAGCUCUCUUCUGUCUUUCUAUUUUUCUCUAUCGAUCACCUACCCCCUUUCUAUCCCAAAAAAUACAAAAAAAGGCGAAAACCGAUAACCAAACAAGAACAACAUAUAUAUAUUUUUUUUUCAAACAAUUAUCUCAUUCACUCAACAUCCGAUUAAUAAUACUCCCGCUCUCUUCUGUAACUCUCAUUGAUUUUUUGUCAUCCCGUAAAAUCGUCUCGGUUUCUUUCGUCACUCCCUUUUUCUUCCCCCGCUUCGUUAUUGUUUUCUGUGAAUGUUUUUUUUUUUGUUUAUUUACGAAAGUGCAGUGUUGUUUAUCGGUAACAAUAAUACCUUGCGGUGAUAAUAUACAGUAAAAGUUAGGAAGAAGUGAAAGCUAAAAAAAGAAAGACGAAAGACAGAAUCCGAACGUUGGGAUUUGGAUAAGGCGGAGAAAAUGAAAGAAAUGAAAGGAAGCGUAAGAUAAUACUAAAAAAAAAAAAACCUCCAA